rnacentral:rRNA from 1 species
AAAGAAAAUAACAAUGAUUCCCUCAUAACGGCGAGCGAAGAGGGAUAAGCUCAAAUUUUAAAUCUGUUGGGUUUCAACCUAACAGAGUUGUAUUUUGAAGAAACGUUUUCUGCGUCCAGGAUUAGCCUAAAUCCUUUGGGAUAAGGUAUCAUGGAGGGUGAGAAUCCCGUUCAUGGUUAAUCUUAAGGACGUUCUACGAUACGUUCUCCAAGAGUCGAGUUGUUUGGGAUUGCAGCUCAAAAUGGGAGGUAAAUUUCUCCUAAGGCUAAAUAUUGGCGAGAGACCGAUAGCGAACAAGUACCGUGAGGGAAAGAUGAAAAGAACUUUGAAAAGAGAGUUAAACAGUACGUGAAAUUGUUGAAAGGGAAACGAUUGAAGUCAGUCAUACCAACGGGAAAUCAACCUUUUGAGUUUGUUCUUGUGGGUUUCGAGGAGUUUAAAAGCCUUCUGAUUUGUGAGGAUUGGGCUCUUUUGAUGUACUUUCUCGUACGGUUAGUCAACAUCGGUUUUGAAUGUCAUAAAAUGACUGGAGGAAUGUGGCUUCGAUCUCGUAUCGAAGUGUUAUAACCUUUGGUAGAUGUGAUGUUCGAGACCGAGGAUUGCAACGGAUACCUUCCAGGCUAUUCGUCUGAUCUCUGAUACGUUGCCUUGAUGUCGAAAGCGUGCUUAUGAUGUUAGGGUAUUACGGUCAAAAGGUUAGAACGGAUUAAAUUCGUUAAGGAUGUUGACGUAAUGACUUUAAACGAC